CGUAAAUUUUCCUUAAAUCAUCAAAACAUCCAAAUUCAAUGAAACAAAAACAACAACAAUGUAUUUACGAUGAGACACAUUCAGCAUUUAUAAUUUUUUCUCUCUUUUUUGUUUGACUUUGUUUUCUAAAGUAGCCUGUUAACAGUAGACCAAAGGUAUGAUGAUCAAUUAUAAAUGCAAUAUGGUUGAAAGGUCAGUAAACAAACAACAAAAAGCUUGACAAAAAUGUAGCUUGAAGGAGAAGGGACAGCUGAGUAACAAAGUCCUGGUACGCAGACGACGAUACUAUUACACUGACAAGAGUGUAAUGAUGAUGGAGACACAAGCCAGAGAAAGGGGGACCAAACACCAGGCCAGAAUUCUGCAUGAGUCAGAUCCAGUGGGUGCAGAUCAUCAUACAGAUGGUUCAAGUGUGGAUCCACCUAAUAUUCAAGCUCCAGUGGGCAUCCUUUAUCCAUCCAGACCCUCAUACAGAUGGUUGGAGUUUUGAUUCACCUAAAGUACCAUGCAAGAGCACUCAUUUUCCCUCUUGAGACCAUGGUGUGACCUGCAAGGUCGAAUGGAGACUGUAAACGAGACAAUCUUGGAGUCACCUGCAUUCACUGGUCCAGUUGUUAGUCCAAUUACAGAUGGAGAUUAUAGAAGAGGAUGAUGUCUUUUCUCCAACAUCUUUCUAGACUGAUAAAAGAUCUAGACAGGCUUGAACAAAAGUUAACAGAGGGGCUUAUAUAGAGAAUGGUGAGCAGCUACACAUAAAAGAAGAACAUGGAGAAUCUGCCCAGAGGUGUUAACCAGCAAUGCAGCUAUACAACUAAAUUGAUGCAGGCGGAAACAAUGUGUAAUGCAGCUGCUGCAGAUGAAGAAUCCGUCCGUCUAGCACUGAAGGAGACGCGGAAAAUCGGGAAAAGAUGUUCUUUGCCCGAGGAAGCAUUUGAUUAAUUUAAAGAUAUUGUGUUUCUUUGUAUGUUAUAGAAAAACGUUGCUUUUUGCAUACACUCGUGUAAAUAUGCAUCUUAUGAAUGUUUUCCUUUGUCUAAUUUUAAUAAAUUUUACGCAAUCAA